AUCAUUUCGGGAAAUGAACUUGGCUUCUUUUAUUUAAACCCAGACUCUGGUGUUUUACAGCUUAAAAAGUCACUGUUGAAUUCUGGAGUUAAAAAUGGUAAUUUUGCCCUCAGAAUUACAGCAACCGAUGGAGAGAAUCUUGCAGACCCCAUGUCUAUUAACAUUUCAGUCCUACAUGGGAAGGUGUCUUCAAAGAGUUUCAGUUGCAGAGAAACUCGUGUGGCUCAAAAGCUGGCAGAGAAACUGCUCAUUAAGGCAAAAGCAAAUGGGAAACUGAAUCUGGAAGAUGGAUUUCUUGACUUUUAUUCAAUUAACAGGCAGGGACCACAUUUUGACAAGUCUUUUCCUUCUGAUGUGGCUGUGAAGGAGGAUCUACCAGUUGGUGCUAACAUCCUGAAGAUUCAAGCCUAUGAUGCUGACUCUGGCUUCAAUGGAAAGGUGCUAUUUACAAUAGCUGAUGGAAAUACAGAUAGUUGCUUUAACAUCGAUAUGGAGACUGGGCAGCUGAAGGUCCUUAUGCCCAUGGAUCGAGAACACACAGAUCUCUAUCUCCUUAAUAUCACCAUCUAUGACUUAGGCAAUCCACAGAAAUCUUCGUGGAGGCUGCUGACCAUCAAUGUGGAGGAUGCUAAUGACAACAGCCCAGUUUUUCUUCAAGACAGUUACUCAGUUAACAUUCUUGAAAGUUCAAGUAUUGGUACUGAGAUUAUUCAAGUGGAAGCCAGAGACAGAGACUUGGGUUCUAAUGGUGAAGUAACUUACUCGGUCUUGACAGAUACCCGGCAGUUUGCCAUCAAUAGCUCAACUGGAAUCAUUUAUGUAGCUGACCAAUUGGACAGGGAAUCAAAAGCAAACUACUCUUUGAAAAUAGAAGCCAGGGACAAGGCAGAAAGUGGUCAGCAACUGUUCUCAGUUGUCACUCUUAAGGUGUUUUUGGAUGACGUCAAUGACUGCUCUCCAGCUUUCAUUCCCAGUAGCUAUAGUGUGAAGGUCCUUGAAGAUCUCCCCAUUGGCACUGUCAUCGCUUGGCUGGAGACUCAUGAUCCGGAUCUUGGAUUGGGGGGUCAAGUGCGCUAUUCUUUGGUCAAUGACUAUAAUGGGAGAUUUGAAAUAGAUAAAGCAAGUGGUGCCAUCCGCUUGAGCAAAGAGCUCGACUAUGAAAAGCAGCAGUUCUAUAACCUGACGGUUCGGGCCAAAGACAAAGGGCGGCCUGUCUCUCUGUCAUCUGUUUCCUUUGUUGAGGUGGAAGUGGUGGAUGUCAAUGAAAACCUCCACACCCCCUAUUUCCCGGACUUUGCUGUUGUUGGAUCUGUAAAAGAAAACUCACGCAUUGGAACCAGUGUGCUUCAGGUGACUGCCCGAGAUGAAGACUCCGGGAGGGAUGGAGAGAUCCAGUACUCCAUCAGGGAUGGAAGUGGUCUUGGAAGGUUCAGUAUAGAUGACGAGAGUGGUAAGUUUAAAUUUUGUGCCAGAAGUAUUAUUUCACCUCUCUUAGAUCAUUGACAUUGGAAAAGUAAAGUGACUGUUAGGGCACUAAAAUAGAAUUGCAAAUGAGGUUGCAUUUGGUGCAGAGAUGAUGCAAGUAAAAGCUUUUUCUUAGAAUGUGGUGGUUUGUAAGAAGAUCUGUCUAUGCAAUAAUAGCCAUGGUUUCCAGUGGGAGUCCCGGUUUUGUUUUUUCUUGCUCAGCACUAGUGGUACCAGGUCAUCUUUUCAUAAACAUAAGUAAUUGUCACCUCUGUUGAUUGUGCUUCUGACCCUCACUAAAUGAAGGGCCCUGAUUAAGUAAAUUACAUUUG